CGGUGUAGGCCAUCAUUGUAAAUAAUAAUUUGUUUUUAAAUUACUUGCCUAGUUAAAUAAAAUAAAAAAUAUGACCAUGGUUUGUUUAUUUGGUCUAUUCAGCAUAGCUCUGUUCUGCCCUGCCUUGCCCCCCUGUGGAGCUCAAAAGUUAGUUUCUUAAUGCAAUAAACUAUUUUUUAUAGCAGUGUUUAUUAUGUUACUUCUUUGUAGUAUUGUUUUAUUGCUAUAUCCUUAUAUUGUAUUCUAAUUAAUAAUUCCUCUUUCUUCUGUACUUUCAGAAACCACAAAUAUUAUUUGCCAAUAUCAUAACUGGAGCUGGACAUCUUUGGAGCAGAAGAAUGAGGACAGCUUUUGUAUGCUAACGUACACUCCUUAACAGUCUUACUGGAUGAAAAGACAGCAAGAAAACACAUAUGCCAAUAUGCAGACUUUGCAGUGCCUCCUUGUGCGACUACCUUGAGCAGCAGUUUGAGGGACUUUGCAGGGAAAAUGCCGUGCAGUAAGGCGUAGGGGAUUGUUUACAGCAGGACGACCCCCAGUGGAUGGGCGCCGAGGGGUGUGGUGCUCCUCCAGCAGCUCUCUCAUUAGGUUCUCUCUGUAUUUUUGUCAGGUGAUCCACCUUCCCUGUGGCCGACAUGGUUGCUGUAUGGACAGUGGAGAGGACAUGGACAUCUCUUUUGUCAUGCCACUUUACUGCCAGCUGUUGACCAUUCUCCUGGAACUCCACCUCCCCUCUCUGCAUCUUCCUGCAUCCGAAUCCUGGCAUCCCCUUCCUGUUCGACCUGACUGUGCCACAGGCCCCUGUGCUGUUGGAGAGCAGAUGCUGGAAGAGUGUGGGACUGCUGUACCAAUUGUCCACGUACAA